AAUAAGAUUAUUUUUCGUUUUUCCGUAUCCAACGUUUGACCAUUCGUCUUAUUUGAAAAAAAAUUGUGAUUAAUAUUUUUAUUCUUACUAGAUGAUGAAAUAUGAAUAGUACUUUAUGUGUGACUAAUUUUUUUAAGUUUUUAUAUAAAUUUUUUAAAUAAGACGAAUGGUCAAACGUUAGAGACGAAAAAACGAAAAAUGAUCUUAUU
rfam:Oryza brachyantha chromosome 11, whole genome shotgun sequence.